rnacentral:tRNA from 1 species
GCACUGAUGGUAUAGGGGUGAGCAUGGCUGCCUUCCAAGAACUUGGCCCAGGUUCUAUUCCUGGUCAAAGCA